rnacentral:lncRNA from 1 species
GUGUGACUUUAUCCACUUGCUAUGAUUAUUGUGAACUGCUUAUGGAUUUUGCUACAUGUUUUGAUACCUAUCCUCCUUGCUUUGUGUUUUAACAGAUACCAUUGAAAACGAGAACUACUUCUUGGCUAAAUAUACAUUCAGCAAAGGAAACCUGAAGACAGAAAUACUGAAAAAUGGCUACCGAGGAGCUGACACUCUGAAGUACAACAAAAUUACAAUUCUUGGCCUGAAAUUGAGACCUCAAGCUGUUACUCUGAAUGGAAGAUCUAUCCAUGGAGAUGCUUUCUCUUUUGAGAUGAGGGGGAAACUGACUCUGCGGAUUUCUGCUCCACUUACUCAGGAACUGAACAUUAGGUUUUACUAGAACGGUCAGAACACACAGACUCAACUUGUGUUGAGCAUCCUUGCCCCUCAGAUAUUGGUCUCACUUUGAUUUUAAUGUAAAAAGUCCAUUUAGUCAUUAAAACAUUGCUUAUGGACCUGAUAACUUGUCUUUUCUUAUGUAGUAUUUGUAACUCAGAAUUCUUCAAAUGAAAUUUUCAAUGGUCGUUAAUGACUAUUACCAUAAACUGAUGUGUUCAACAUAGCAUAGAAGAAAUCAUCCUGAACGUUCUGUCUCAUCGUGGGUGGAG